rnacentral:rRNA from 1 species
CACGGACCAAGGAGUCUAGCAUGUGUGCAAGUCAUUGGGACCGCACUAAACCUAAAGGCGUAAUGAAAGUGAAGGCCGCGGCGAGAGCCCGGCCCACAGAGGGGGGAUGUUCGCGGAGACGCUCACGCGUCCCGCCGGACCGCACCCCCGGGGCGUCUCGUCGUCAUUGCGACGCAGCAGGCGCACCCAGAGCGUACACGUUGGGACCCGAAAGAUGGUGAACUAUGCCUGGCCAGGUCGAAGUCAGGGGAAACCCUGAUGGAGGACCGUAGCGAUUCUGACGUGCAAAUCGAUCGUCAGAGCUGGGUAUAGGGGCGAAAGACUAAUCGAACCAUCUAGUAGCUGGUUCCCUCCGAAGUUUCCCUCAGGAUAGCUGGCGCUCGAGAAGAGUGCGUGGGCCGUCGGGUCGACGGGCAACCGUCACCCGCGGUCGUACCAGUCUCAUCUGGUAAAGCGAAUGAUUAGAGGCCUUGGGGCCGAAACGACCUCAACCUAUUCUCAAACUUUAAAUGGGUGAGAUACUCGACUUGCUUGAACAACUCUCGUGAAGUCGAGUCUCGAGGAUGAACGAGUGCCAAGUGGGCCAAUUUUGGUAAGCAGAACUGGCGCUGUGGGAUGAACCAAACGUCGAGUUAAGGCGCCUAAAACGAUGCUCAUGGGAUACCAUGAAAGGCGUUGGUUGCUUAAGACAGCAGGACGGUGGCCAUGGAAGUCGGAAUCCGCUAAGGAGUGUGUAACAACUCACCUGCCGAAGCAACUAGCCCUGAAAAUGGAUGGCGCUCAAGCAUCGUGCCUAUACUCGACCGUCACCGGCAAAAUCGCGAGGGGGUCGUCCCCCUCACGAACGAGGUCGUGACGAGUAGGAGGGUCGCGACGGUGUGCGCAGAAGCGUCGGCCGUGAGGCUGCGUGGAGCCGCCGUCGGUGCAGAUCUUGGUGGUAGUAGCAAAUACACUAGCGAGGCCCUGGUGGACUGACGUGGAGAAGGGUUUCGUGUGAACAGCCGUUGCACACGAGUCAGUCGAUCCUAAGCCCCAGGAGAAAUCCGAUGUUGAUGCCGCGUCCCCAAGAACGCAAUUUUUCGUGAUUGGGAUGACCGCAUCGGGCGAAAGGGAAUCCGGUUCAUAUUCCGGAACCCGGCCGCGGAACCGACCAUGCGGGCCAAUGUCGACGCGCUGUGUUGCCGGCACGUUCCGAAAGGGGCGUGCACGGUGGCCGCGCGAGCGGCAACUCGUCGGGGUAACCCAAAAGGACCCGGAGACGCCGUCGGAUGAUCGAGGCAGAGUUUUCUGUUCUGUUUGAGCGUUCGAGUUCCCUGGAAUCGCCUAGCGCGGAGAUAGGGUUUGGAACGCGAAGAGCACCGCACUUGCGGCGGUGUCUCGAUCCAUCCCUCGGACCUUGA